GUUUGAUCAUGGCUCAGAUUGAACGCUGGCGGCAGGCCUAACACAUGCAAGUCGAGCGGUAACAGAUUGAUAGCUUGCUAUCAAUGCUGACGAGCGGCGGACGGGUGAGUAAUGCCUGGGAAUAUACCCUGAUGUGGGGGAUAACUAUUGGAAACGAUAGCUAAUACCGCAUAAUCUCUUCGGAGCAAGGAGGGGGACCUUCGGGCCUCUCGCGUCAGGAUUAGCCCAGGUGGGAUUAGCUAGUUGGUGGGGUAAUGGCUCACCAAGGCGACGAUCCCUAGCUGUUCUGAGAGGAUGAUCAGCCACACUGGGACUGAGACACGGCCCAGACUCCUACGGGAGGCAGCAGUGGGGAAUAUUGCACAAUGGGGGAAACCCUGAUGCAGCCAUGCCGCGUGUGUGAAGAAGGCCUUCGGGUUGUAAAGCACUUUCAGCGAGGAGGAAAGGUUGAUGGUUAAUAGCCAUUAGCUGUGACGUUACUCGCAGAAGAAGCACCGGCUAACUUCGUGCCAGCAGCCGCGGUAAUACGAGGGGUGCAAGCGUUAAUCGGAAUUACUGGGCGUAAAGCGUACGCAGGCGGUUUGUUAAGCAAGAUGUGAAAGCCCUGGGCUCAACCUAGGAACAGCAUUUUGAACUGGCAAACUAGAGUCCUGUAGAGGGGGGUAGAAUUUCA
rnacentral:rRNA from 1 species